UGGUGGAGUGAUUUGUCUGCUUAAUUGCGAUAACGAACGAGACCUUAACCUGCUAAAUAGCCAGGCCGUCUUUGGAUGGUCGCCGGCUUCUUAGAGGGACUGUCGGUGUCUAACCGACGGAAGUUUGAGGCAAUAACA
rnacentral:rRNA from 1 species